rnacentral:lncRNA from 1 species
AUGGAGGUGCAUAGUGUUGAAUGCUUUAAAAAUGUUUUUCCUCCAGAGUCAGAAACACUGAACAACUAUACUUUCACCUCUUUUCAUCACGUUCUAUUUCAUACAUUGCUUCAAUUAAUCUCUGGAUUUUCAUGGGUUAGCAUUUAUUGCUAUGGCACUGACUUCUUUGUAGUUUACCUCCUUCUACAGCAGCGGUGGCAGGCACAACACAGUGGUUUCUUCUUGGCAUCAAUUCAAAAGAAGCUCAAAAACAAACAAACAAAAGAAAAUAAUACUAGUUCUGUGACUGAAGUCAGGAGAUUAAGGGAGACUGGACAACUCGUCUCUGAAGAAACUUCAGGGAGCUUUAUUUUUGGCAGCUGGACGGUUGUUCCAACAGUGCUGUGCAGCAUGCUGGGUGGAGGAGGCUAUUGCCUGAUGUGACACCUGAUCUUUGUCUUCCUCAGCAGGAUAGAAGUUUUCUCAGAUGUUUGUGCUGAGUUUACACCGUUAUGCCAUGUCAGUGCUUGGCUGUGGAUCAGAGAACACUGAUCAUUCAGGAGGGAGGUUGCCAACCUGGCAGGUAGCAGGUAGGCAGUGUGCUCCCAUUGCUUACUCUGUGUAGCUUUCUCACCUCUUGUCUUUCAACAAAACAUAAAUCCUUGCUGAGUUAAUGAUGUCAUUUUCUCAGAAUACUAUGAGAUAACACAUUAUCUGG